CACGGGGGGAGCAAGCGUUGUUCGGAAUCACUGGGCGUAAAGGGCGUGUAGGCGGUCAAGUAAGUGGAAUGUGAAAGCCCCCGGCUUACCCGGGGAUCUGCAUCCCAAACUGCUUGGCUUGAGUACGGGAGAGGAUAGGGGAAUUCCUGGUGUAGCGGUGAAAUGCGCAGAUAUCGGGAGGAACACCGGUGGCGAAGGCGGUUCUCUGGGCCUUACC
rnacentral:rRNA from 1 species